UUUAAAGUCUGACCUGCCCAAUGAGGAGUUGAAUGGCCGCGGUAAUUUGACCGUGCAAAGGUAGCAUAAUCAUUAGUUUUUUAAUUGAAAGCUGGAAUGAACGGUUGGACGAGAAAAUAACUGUCUCAAUUUAAUUGAAUGUAGAAUUUUAUUUAUAAGUAAAAAAGCUUAUAUGAGUUUAAAAGACGAGAAGACCCUAUAGAGUUUUAUAAUUUUUUAUAUUAAAGACGAUCAGUAUGUUUAUAUUUUUGAUAUAAAAAAUUAUUUUGCUGGGGCAGCAGAAAAAUUAAAUAAACUUUUUUUAUAUAUUUACAUUGAUUUAUGGUUUAAUGAUCCAUUAUUUAUGAUUACAAGAUUAAAUUACCUUAGGGAUAACAGCGUAAUUUUUUUUUAGAGUUCUUAUCGAAAAAAGAGUUUGCGACCUCGAUGUUGGAUUAAAAUUAACUUUUGGUGUAGGGGCUAGAGGGUUAGGUCUGUUCGACCUUUAAAAUUUUACAUGAUCUGAGUUUAAACCGGCGUGAGCCAGGUUGGUUUCUAUCUUUAAAAAAGUUGGAUAUCUUAGUACGAAAGGAUCAGAUAUUUUUAAAAUUUAAUAUAAUUUGAAUAGGAAUAAAAAAA
rnacentral:rRNA from 1 species